rnacentral:rRNA from 1 species
AUACGGAGGAUGCAAGCGUUAUCCGGAUUUAUUGGGUUUAAAGGGUGCGUAGGCGGAUGAUUAAGCGUGAGGUGAAAUGCCACUGCUCAACAGUGGAACUGCCUCGCGAACUGGUUGUCUUGAAUGCUCCUGCCGUGGGAGGAAUGUGUGGUGUAGCGGUGAAAUGCAUAGAGAUCACACAGAACACCGAUUGCGAAGGCAUCUCACGAAGGUGUGAUUGACGCUGAGGCACAAAAGCGUGGGGAUCAAACAGGAUUAGAUACCCUGGUAGUCCACGCAGUAAACGAUGAUAACUAACCGCUGGGUCGUCGUGAUUCAGUGGCCAAGCGAAAGCGAUAAGUUAUCCACCUGGGGAGUACGACCGCAAGGUUGAAACUCAAAUGAAUUGACGGGG